rnacentral:rRNA from 1 species
UUGUCGUCAGCUCGUGUCGUGAGAUGUUGGUUAAGUCCCGCAACGAGCGCAACCCCUAUUGUUAGUUGCCAUCAUUCAGUUUGGGGCACUCUAGCGAGACUGCCGGUAAUAAACCGGAGGAAGGUGGGGAUGACGUCAAAUCAUCAUGCCCCUUAUGACCUGGGCUACACACGUGCUACAAUGGUUGGUACAACGAGUUGCGAGUCGGUGACGGCGAGCUAAUCUCUUAAAGCCAAUCUCAGUUCGGAUUGUAGGCUGCAACUCGCCUACAUGAAGUCGGAAUCGCUAGUAAUCGCGGAUCAGCACGCCGCGGUGAAUACGUUCCCGGGCCUU